CUACGGAGGAUGCGAGCGUUAUCCGGAUUUAUUGGGUUUAAAGGGAGCGUAGGCGGGAGCUUAAGUCAGCGGUUAAAUGGUGCGGCUCAACCGUGCCCUGCCGUUGAAACUGGGUUUCUUGAGAGUGCAAGAGGCGGAUGGAAUUCAUGGUGUAGCGGGUAAAUGCUUAGAUAUCAUGAAGAACUCCGAUUGCGAAGGCAGUCCGCUGGGGCACGUCUGACGCUGAUGCUCGAAGGUGGGGAAUCAAACAGGAUUAGAUACCCUGGUAGUCCGCACGGUAAACGAUGAUUACCCGCUGUCGGCGGUAGACAGUCGGCGGCCAAGCGAAAGCGAUAAGUAAUCCACCUGGGGAGUACGCCGGCAACGGUGAAACUCAAAUGAAUUGACGGGG
rnacentral:rRNA from 1 species